rnacentral:rRNA from 1 species
CUGCGAAUGGCUCAUUAUAUAAGUUAUCGUUUAUUUGAUAGUACCUUACUACUUGGAUAACCGUGGUAAUUCUAGAGCUAAUACAUGCUAAAAAUCCCGACUUCGGAAGGGAUGUAUUUAUUAGAUUAAAAACCAAUGCCCUCUGGGCUCCUUGGUGAUUCAUGAUAACUCUUCGAAUCGCACGGCCUUGCGCCGGCGAUGGUUCAUUCAAAUUUCUUCCCUAUCAACUUUCGAUGUUUGGGUAUUGGCCAAACAUGGUUGCAACGGGUAACGGAGGGUUAGGGCUCGACCCCGGAGAAGGAGCCUGAGAAACGGCUACUACAUCCAAGGAAGGCAGCAGGCGCGCAAAUUACCCAAUCCCGAUUCGGGGAGGUAGUGACAAUAAAUACUGAUACAGGGCUCUUUUGGGUCUUGUAAUUGGAAUGAGUACAAUUUAAAUCCCUUAACGAGGAACAAUUGGAGGGCAAGUCUGGUGCCAGCAGCCGCGGUAAUUCCAGCUCCAAUAGCGUAUAUUAAAGUUGUUGUGGUUAAAAAGCUCGUAGUUGAACCUUGGGCCUGGCUGGCCGGUCCGCCUCACCGCGUGCACUGGUCCGGCCGGGCCUUUCCCUCUGUGGAACCCCAUGCCCUUCACUGGGCGUGGCGGGGAAACAGGACGUUUACUUUGAAAAAAUUAGAGUGCUCCAGGCAGGCCUAUGCUCGAAUACAUUAGCAUGGAAUAAUGAAAUAGGACGCGUGGUUCUAUUUUGUUGGUUUCUAGGACCGCCGUAAUGAUUAAUAGGGACAGUCGGGGGCAUCAGUAUUCAAUUGUCAGAGGUGAAAUUCUUGGAUUUAUUGAAGACUAACUACUGCGAAAGCAUUUGCCAAGGAUGUUUUCAUUAAUCAGGAACGAAAGUUAGGGGAUCGAAGACGAUCAGAUACCGUCGUAGUCUUAACCAUAAACUAUGCCGACUAGGGAUCGGACGAUGUUAUUUUUUGACGCGUUCGGCACC